GGUUGGGUAGCUCAGUGGUUAGAGCGCUUAGACCCUAGAUCUGAGAGACUGGAGUUCGAUUCUCUGUCCGACUG